rnacentral:rRNA from 1 species
AGGAUAAACGCUGGCGGCGUGCCUAACACAUGCAAGUCGAACGUCUCUUCUUUCGGGAAGAGGAGUGGCGGACGGGUGAGGAACACGUGGGAACCUGCCCUUCAGUGAGGAAUACCGGCGAGAAAUCGCCGACAAGACCGCAUAGCCCUCUCUGGUGAGAGCCAGAGAAGGAAAGCCUCGCAAGAGGCGCUGGAGGAGGGGCCUGCGUCCGAUUAGCUAGUUGGUGGGGUAAGAGCCUACCAAGGCGUCGAUCGGUAGCUGGUCUGAGAGGACGAUCAGCCACACUGGGAUUGAGAACGGCCCAGACUCCUACGGGGGGCAGCAGUGAGGAAUUUUCGGCAAUGGGGGAAACCCUGACCGAGCAACGCCGCGUGCAGGAAGACGGCCUUCGGGUUGUAAACUGCUUUUCUUUGGGACGAGGCAAGGACGGUACCAGAGGAAUCAGCCCGGCUCACUACGUGCCAGCAGCCGC